GAGGUUUUGGCUCAGUGGUAGAGCACUCGCCUAGCAUGUGUGAGGCGCUGGGUUCAAUCCUCA
rnacentral:tRNA from 1 species